ACCUGGCACACAAUGUAGAUUUCUGUGUUAGUUAGGCAACAGCUACAUUGUCUGCUGGGUUUC
rnacentral:pre_miRNA from 1 species